rnacentral:rRNA from 1 species
UACGAAGGGGGCUAGCGUUGUUCGGAAUUACUGGGCGUAAAGCGCGCGCAGGCGGUCUUCCAAGUCAGUGGUGAAAGCCCGGAGCUCAACUCCGGAACUGCCAUUGAUACUGGAGAGCUUGAGUCCGGGAGAGGUGAGUGGAACUGCGAGUGUAGAGGUGAAAUUCGUAGAUAUUCGCAAGAACACCAGUGGCGAAGGCGGCUCACUGGCCCGGUACUGACGCUGAGGUGCGAAAGCGUGGGGAGCAAACAGG